UCUAAUAUGGCAGAUUAGUGCAAUAGAUUUAAGCCCUAUAAAUAAAGAAAACCUUUUAUUAGAA
rnacentral:tRNA from 1 species